rnacentral:pre_miRNA from 1 species
UUCCGGUGGUUGGAGUCUCUUCAGCCCAAACAAGACCGUAUUGGCCUGUCACAGCUGCUGACUCGUUCAUUCAUGAAAACAUCCAACUGGUACGUACUAUGGGAUGAGUUUUUGAUUGAACGAUGCAGGAGCCGAGUUUGGCUAUCGCUGUCUCGUCUUGGACUGAAGGGUCUCCUACUCUAAGGCCC